rnacentral:rRNA from 1 species
GACGAACGCUGGCGGCGUGCCUAAUACAUGCAAGUAGAACGCUGAAGAGAGGAGCUUGCUCUUCUUGGAUGAGUUGCGAACGGGUGAGUAACGCGUAGGUAACCUGCCUUGUAGCGGGGGAUAACUAUUGGAAACGAUAGCUAAUACCGCAUAACAAUGGAUGACACAUGUCAUUUAUUUGAAAGGGGCAAUUGCUCCACUACAAGAUGGACCUGCGUUGUAUUAGCUAGUAGGUGAGGUAACGGCUCACCUAGGCGACGAUACAUAGCCGACCUGAGAGGGUGAUCGGCCACACUGGGACUGAGACACGGCCCAGACUCCUACGGGAGGCAGCAGUAGGGAAUCUUCGGCAAUGGGGGCAACCCUGACCGAGCAACGCCGCGUGAGUGAAGAAGGUUUUCGGAUCGUAAAGCUCUGUUGUAAGUCAAGAACGAGUGUGAGAGUGGAAAAUUCACACUGUGACGGUAGCUUACCAGAAAGGGACGGCUAACUACGUGCCAGCAGCCGCGGUAAUACGUAGGUCCCGAGCGUUGUCCGGAUUUAUUGGGCGUAAAGCGAGCGCAGGCGGUUUGAUAAGUCUGAAGUUAAGGCUGUGGCUCAACCAUAGUUCGCUUUGGAAACUGUCAAACUUGAGUGCAGAAGGGGAGAGUGGAAUUCCAUGUGUAGCGGCGAAAUGCGUAGAUAUAUGGAGGAACACCGGUGGCGAAAGCGGCUCUCUGGUCUGUAACUGACGCUGAGGCUCGAAAGCGUGGGGAGCGAACAGGAUUAGAUACCCUGGUAGUCCACGCCGUAAACGAUGAGUGCUAGGUGUUGGAUCCUUUCCGGGAUUCAGUGCCGCAGCUAACGCAUUAAGCACUCCGCCUGGGGAGUACGACCGCAAGGUUGAAACUCAAAGGAAUUGACGGGGGCCCGCACAAGCGGUGGAGCAUGUGGUUUAAUUCGAAGCAACGCGAAGAACCUUACCAGGUCUUGACAUCCCGAUGCUAUUUCUAGAGAUAGAAAGUUACUUCGGUACAUCGGUGACAGGUGGUGCAUGGUUGUCGUCAGCUCGUGUCGUGAGAUGUUGGGUUAAGUCCCGCAACGAGCGCAACCCCUAUUGUUAGUUGCCAUCAUUCAGUUGGGCACUCUAGCGAGACUGCCGGUAAUAAACCGGAGGAAGGUGGGGAUGACGUCAAAUCAUCAUGCCCCUUAUGACCUGGGCUACACACGUGCUACAAUGGUUGGUACAACGAGUUGCGAGUCGGUGACGGCAAGCUAAUCUCUUAAAGCCAAUCUCAGUUCGGAUUGUAGGCUGCAACUCGCCUACAUGAAGUCGGAAUCGCUAGUAAUCGCGGAUCAGCACGCCGCGGUGAAUACGUUCCCGGGCCU